UACGUAGGUGGCAAGCGUUGUCCGGAAUUAUUGGGCGUAAAGCGCGCGCAGGUGGUUCCUUAAGUCUGAUGUGAAAGCCCACGGCUCAACCGUGGAGGGUCAUUGGAAACUGGGGAACUUGAGUGCAGAAGAGGACAGUGGAACUCCAUGUGUAGCGGUGAAAUGCGUAGAUAUAUGGAAGAACACCAGUGGCGAAGGCGGCUGUCUGGUCUGUAACUGACACUGAGGCGCGAAAGCGUGGGGAGCAAACAGG
rnacentral:rRNA from 1 species